CCACUCCAAAAAGCAGAAGUGGUCAUGGACGUUGGAGUAACCCUUUAACCCCUAGUUAGCUGUUGAUCAAUAUCCUUUACCACGGAUUGAAGAAUUGUUUAGUCCCCUUGUGGGUGGAAUUUGUUUUACAAACAUGGACUUACAUCAAGCGUACUUACAGUUGGAGGUACAUCCAGACUCAAGACACUUGUUAACUAUCAAC